UACGAAGGGUGCAAGCGUUACUCGGAAUUACUGGGCGUAAAGCGUGCGUAGGUGGUUUCUUAAGUCUGCUGUGAAAGCCCCGGGCUCAACCUGGGAAUUGCAGUGGAUACUGGGGAGCUAGAGUGCGGUAGAGGGUAGUGGAAUUCCCGGUGUAGCGGUGAAAUGCGUAGAGAUCGGGAGGAACACCAGUGGCGAAGGCGGCUCACUGGACCAUUACUGACGCUGAGGCACGAAAGCUAGGGGAGCAAACAGG
rnacentral:rRNA from 1 species